UCGCGGCUUAUCACCGGCAGUCCCCUUAGAGUGCCCAACUGAAUGAUGGCAACUAAGGGCGAGGGUUGCGCUCGUUGCGGGACUUAACCCAACAUCUCACGACACGAGCUGACGACAGCCAUGCAACACCUGUCCUGGUUCCCGAUUUUACGGGUGGGCAACGCUUUCACGCGCCUACUUCCAGAAUGUCAAGCCUGGGUAAGGUUCUUCGCUUUGCAUCGAAUUAAGCAACGCGCUCCGCCGCUUGUGCGAGCCCCCGUCAAUUCCUUUGAGUUUUAGCCUUGCGGCCGUACUCCCCAGGCGGCGAACUUAAUGCGUUAGCUUCGGCACGGAGGCCAUGACAGCCCCCACACCUAGUUCGCACCGUUUACGGCUAGGACUAC
rnacentral:misc_RNA from 1 species